UGGGGAAUUUUCCGCAAUGGGCGAAAGCCUGACGGAGCAACGCCGCGUGUGGGAAGAAGGCUCUUGGGCUGUCAACCACUUUUCUCAGGGAAGAAGUCCUGACGGUACCUGAGGAAUCAGCCUCGGCUAACUCCGUGCCAGCAGCCGCGGUAAUACGGAGGAGGCAAGCGUUAUCCGGAAUUAUUGGGCGUAAAGCGUCCGCAGGGGGCGCAUCAAGUCUGCUGUCAAAGGCCGGAGCUUAACUCCGGUUGAGCAGUGGAUACUGNUGCGCUAGAAGGCGACA
rnacentral:rRNA from 1 species